rnacentral:rRNA from 1 species
GACGAACGCUGGUGGCGUGCUUAACACAUGCAAGUCGAACGAUGAAGCCUAGCUUGCUAGGUGGAUUAGUGGCGAACGGGUGAGUAAUACGUGAGUAACCUACCUUUAACUCUGGGAUAAGCCUGGGAAACUGGGUCUAAUACCGGAUACGACCAAUCUCCGCAUGGGGUGUUGGUGGAAAGCGUUAUGUAGUGGUUAUAGAUGGGCUCACGGCCUAUCAGCUUGUUGGUGAGGUAACGGCUCACCAAGGCGACGACGGGUAGCCGGCCUGAGAGGGUGACCGGCCACACUGGGACUGAGACACGGCCCAGACUCCUACGGGAGGCAGCAGUGGGGAAUAUUGCACAAUGGGCGCAAGCCUGAUGCAGCGACGCCGCGUGAGGGAUGACGGCCUUCGGGUUGUAAACCUCUGUUAGCAGGGAAGAAGAGAAAUUGACGGUACCUGCAGAGAAAGCGCCGGCUAACUACGUG